CAGAAAUAGCAGCUGUUUAUUUGGUCUUUUAAGCUCUCAUGAGGAUGAGUUGACUCACUCUGGUUGUUAGGAGGACCCAGCGGACCAGAUGAUGAUCCUGCUUUCAGGAGUGACACAUCCUACCCGUGCACUCUGGACAAGCCUUUGGAUGUCACCACCUCUGUCUGGGCUACAAGCUAUUGGCAAGUCUUCCAGCUGAAAGUGCCAGUUGCACAGUCCCAAGGCGCUCCACAGCAUUCCCAGGUCGCCGACAGUUGACUCCAGAGACUGCUUGCUUCCAAGCCAGGCAAGGAGAUUGGAUUUUAAGAAAAGCACAUGACUACGUGAUGGAGCAACAAGGGAGCCUGAUUUUCGUGAUUCCAAAUUCUGUCUUCCUGGACUCUGAACCUCAUUGUUUCUCUUACUUUGAAGAAAAGAUUGUUAAAAAUCCUCAAAUUACUGCAUAAACACUAAUUUUGCCUAUUUAUUCCCAUAAUAUAAAAAGC
rnacentral:lncRNA from 1 species